rnacentral:rRNA from 1 species
UACGGGGGGGGCAAGCGUUGUUCGGAAUUACUGGGCGUAAAGGGCUCGUAGGUGGUCAACUAAGUCGGACGUGAAAUCCCUCGGCUUAACCGGGGAACUGCGUCCGAUACUGGAUGACUUGAGUUCGGGAGAGGGAUGCGGAAUUCCAGGUGUAGCGGUGAAAUGCGUAGAUAUCUGGAGGAAUACCGGUGGCGAAGGCGGCAUCCUGGACCGACAUUGACGCUGAACGGCGAAAGCUAGGGGAGCAAACGGG